GAUGAACGCUGGCGGCGUGCCUCAAACAUGCAAGUCGAGCGGGGCUAUGUAAUAUCGCAAGGUAGAACAUAGCCUAGCGGCGAACGGGUGAGUAACACGUGGGUAACCUGCCUGGAAGACAGGGAUAACGAUUCGAAAGGGUCGCUAAUACCUGAUAAUAUCCUUUCAUCGCAUGGUGAUAGGAAGAAAGGGGAAACCCGCUUUCAGAUGGGCCCGCGUCCCAUCAGCUAGUUGGUAAGGUAAAGGCUUACCAAGGCGACGACGGGUAGCCGGUCUGAGAGGAUGUACGGCCACACUGGGACUGAGAUACGGCCCAGACUCCUACGGGAGGCAGCAGUUGGGAAUCUUAGGCAAUGGACGAAAGUCUGACCUAGCGACGCCGCGUGAGGGAAGAAGGCCUUCGGGUUGUAAACCUCUGUCAUGGGGGAAGAGUAAGUGACGGUACCCCAAGAGGAAGCCCCUGCUAACUACGUGCCAGGCAGCCGCGGUAAAAGUACUCUAU
rnacentral:rRNA from 1 species